rnacentral:lncRNA from 1 species
CACCUGACAGGUGGGUGUCACUUCCCAAAAAGCAAAGAAAAAGUGGAAAAGAGUAAAAAAACCCCAUGGGGGAGCGCUGUGCUGGGGCUCCCCGAGGGCCGGGGACACUCGGGGCGCGCUCGCCCCGGGGCCAGCGGGACACGGGCGGCUCUUACCGUGCAGCAGCAGCAGCCCCUGGAGGGCACAGACGGCCAGGAGGGCUCUGGGCCGGGGCAGCAUCCCGGGGCCGGUCCUGGUGCGUGUCCCGAACCCUCUGGAGAAGUUUUCCUUCGCGGCGAGAAGUUUGGGAAAGCCGGCGCGGGGAGGGAGGGGAAGGACGAGGCGCGCAGUUCCCACUUGUUGAUUCCAGUUAAAUUGUUCUUUCCAUUCACCGCUUCAUCCUGGGGCUGCGGGUUGUGUUUGCUUUUCCUUCUUCCAGAGGUUCUUGGCUUUUUUUUUUCUUUUUUUUUUUUUUUUUCUUUCCUUCACCCCUUCUCCGCAAUCCCCUUAUUCCUUCUUUCCCCGCGUUUCUCCAGUCCCUGGGAUUGGGGGGAUUGGGAGUCUGGGGGGAGCCUGGCUGUGCCUCAGAAGCCUCCCCAGCCCUCCUGGCUGGCGCAGAGUCCCUCAAGGGAUGAAAAAGCAAAGCGAAAACACCAGAAAAAGUUUGGCACAAAGUUUCCUCCCCUCGGCGAGCUGCUGCUGGCAGCAGCGCGGAGUUUGGGACAAAGCGGCCGAGCCAGGGAUGGAUUUCUCCAGGGAGGAGCAGGUGCCGAAGGGGAUGGGCUGGAAAACCAAAUCCAGCAGGAUGGGGGGAGCUGCCCGAAGCCCACCUGGCUCUGCCCGGAGCCCACCUGGCUCUACCUGCCCGGGGGCACCUGGCCGGGGCGGGGCUGGGGCAUGGCCGGAGCCCCGGCUCUGCUCUCGGCUGUCCCCCUCCCCUCCUGCCCUGCCUCUCGCAGGGAACUUCGGUGCGAGCCCGAGAUUCUUUAUAGGGACAGGAAAAAAAAAAAAAAAGCAAAAGAAGGAGGAAGGAGAGACGUCACCAGCCGAGGCGAGGGGACUUCACUCUCUCUCUCUCUCUCCCUCUCCCUCCCUGUCAUUUCACUGAGCUCCUGGAUUUCCUCUCGCUGCUGCCUGCGAUGGGGCAGAGAAGGGAAUUCCAGCUGCUGGCCGGCAUCAGGUGGCAACACCUUCCUGCAGGGACCCCGGGGAGGGGACAGCAGCUGA